rnacentral:tRNA from 1 species
GGGCCUAUAGCUCAGCUGGUUAGAGCGCACGCCUGAUAAGCGUGAGGUCGGUGGUUCGAGGUCCACUUAGGCCCACCA